AAACAAUUUGAAACUGAAGUAAUAUUUGGAGUCGGCUUUAUAAAGAUAAAUCUACGCCUGGCAAUAUGUUUCACCACGUAGUAUCAUAUAGACGGUCUCUUGCGUUGAUACUGUGUACGAUAUUGUUUUUGGAGACUCAAGCUGAUUCAGAUAUAUGCAAGAUAUGUACUUGCAAUUCACUUACAACAAAUAUAGAUUGUGCACAUCGCAAUUUACCAUCGAUUCCACAACCAAUUCCGACGAAUGUUGAAUAUUUAGAUCUGCGAGGGAACAACAUUUCAACCAUCAAUGAAGGUACAUUCACGGGGCUUUCAAAUUUAAAGGGAUUGUAAGUUCGUUCAGUUUCUUGAUACGAUUUUC